UACGAAGGGGGCUAGCGUUGCUCGGAAUCACUGGGCGUAAAGCGCACGUAGGCGGCUUCUUAAGUCAGGGGUGAAAUCCUGGAGCUCAACUCCAGAACUGCCUUUGAUACUGAGGAGCUUGCGUCCGGGAGAGGUGAGUGGAACUGCGAGUGUAGAGGUGAAAUUCGUAGAUAUUCGCAAGAACACCAGUGGCGAAGGCGGCUCACUGGCCCGGUACUGACGCUGAGGUGCGAAAGCGUGGGGAGCAAACAGG
rnacentral:rRNA from 1 species